rnacentral:rRNA from 1 species
UACGAAGGGGGCUAGCGUUGCUCGGAUUGACUGGGCGUAAAGGGCGCGUAGGCGGUUCGUACAGUCAGACGUGAAAUUCCUGGGCUCAACCUGGGGGCUGCGUUUGAUACGUGCGGACUUGAGUGCGGAAGAGGGUCGUGGAAUUCCCAGUGUAGAGGUGAAAUUCGUAGAUAUUGGGAAGAACACCGGUGGCGAAGGCGGAUCUCUGGGCCAUUACUGGACGCUGAGGAGCGAAAGCGUGGGGAGCGAACAGG